UCGAGGAUUUUCGGCAAUGGGCGCAAGCCUGACCGAGCGACGCCGCGUGCGCGACGAAGGCCUUCGGGUUGUAAAGCGCUGUCGGGGGGGAGAAAGCCGCAAGGUUGAUCUAUCCCCGGAGGAAGCACGGGCUAAGUUCGUGCCAGCAGCCGCGGUAAGACGAACCGUGCGAACGUUGUUCGGAAUCACUGGGCUUAAAGGGCGCGUAGGCGGUUCAUCAAGUCAGGAGUGAAAUCUUUCGGCUUAACCGGAAAAGUGCUUCUGAUACUGAUGAUCUCGAGGGAGGUAGGGGUCCGCGGAACUUCUGGUGGAGCGGUGAAAUGCGUUGAUAUCAGAAGGAACGCCGGUGGCGAAAGCGGCGGACUGGAUCUCUUCUGACGCUGAGGCGCGAAAGCUAGGGGAGCAAACGGGAUUAGAUACCCCCGUAGUCC
rnacentral:rRNA from 1 species